UUCAGUUGAUACAAGACGGG
rnacentral:snRNA from 1 species